rnacentral:rRNA from 1 species
UGGGGAAUAUUGCACAAUGGGCGCAAGCCUGAUGCAGCCAUGCCGCGUGUAUGAAGAAGGCCUUCGGGUUGUAAAGUACUUUCAGCGGGGAGGAAGGCGUUGUGGUUAAUAACCACAGCGAUUGACGUUACCCGCAGAGAAGCACCGGCUACUCCGUGCCAGCAGCCGCGGUAAUACGGAGGGUGCAAGCGUUAAUCGGAAUUACUGGGCGUAAAGCGCACGCAGGCGGUCUUGUCAAGUCGGAUGUGAAAUCCCCGGGCUCAACCUGGGAACUGCAUUCGAAACUGGCAGGCUAGAGUCUUGUAGAGGGGGUAGAAUUCCAGGUGUAGCGGUGAAAUUGCGUAGAGAUCUGGAGGAAUACCGGUGGCGAAGGCGCCCCC